rnacentral:sRNA from 1 species
GCCAGGUGUGAUGGCACACACCUGUAAUCCCAGUGACUGGGAGGCUGAGGCAGGAGGAUCCCAAGUUCAAAGAUAGCCUCAGCAGCAUAGUGAAGCCCUAAGCAACUUAGUAAGACCCCGUCUCAA